rnacentral:rRNA from 1 species
GUCUCUCUUGAGUGGAUCCUGAGUACGACGGAGCACGUGAAAUUCCGUCGGAAUCUGGGAGGACCAUCUCCUAAGGCUAAAUACUCUCUAGUGACCGAUAGUGAACCAGUACCGUGAGGGAAAGGUGAAAAGCACCCCGGAAGGGGAGUGAAAUAGAACCUGAAACCGUGUGCUUACAAGUAGUCAGAGCCCGUUAAUGGGUGAUGGCGUGCCUUUUGUAGAAUGAACCGGCGAGUUACGAUUUGAUGCAAGGUUAAGCAGUAAAUGUGGAGCCGUAGCGAAAGCGAGUCUGAAUAGGGCGUUUAGUAUUUGGUCGUAGACCCGAAACCAGGUGAUCUACCCUUGGUCAGGUUGAAGUUCAGGUAACACUGAAUGGAGGACCGAACCGACUUACGUUGAAAAGUGAGCGGAUGAACUGAGGGUAGCGGAGAAAUUCCAAUCGAACCUGGAGAUAGCUGGUUCUCUCCGAAAUAGCUUUAGGGCUAGCCUCAAGUGAUGAUUAUUGGAGGUAGAGCACUGUUUGGACGAGGGGCCCCUCUCGGGUUACCGAAUUCAGACAAACUCCGAAUGCCAAUUAAUUUAACUUGGGAGUCAGAACAUGGGUGAUAAGGUCCGUGUUCGAAAGGGAAACAGCCCAGACCACCAGCUAAGGUCCCAAAAUAUAUGUUAAGUGGAAAAGGAUGUGGCGUUGCCCAGACAACUAGGAUGUUGGCUUAGAAGCAGCCAUCAUUUAAAGAGUGCGUAAUAGCUCACUAGUCGAGUGACACUGCGCCGAAAAUGUACCGGGGCUAAACAUAUUACCGAAGCUGUGGAUUGUCCUUUGGACAAUGGUAGGAGAGCGUUCUAAGGGCGUUGAAGCAUGAUCGUAAGGACAUGUGGAGCGCUUAGAAGUGAGAAUGCCGGUGUGAGUAGCGA